CCUACGGGAGGCAGCAGUGAGGAAUAUUGGUCAAUGGGCGCGAGCCUGAACCAGCCAAGUAGCGUGAAGGAUGACUGCCCUACGGGUUGUACACUUCUUUUAUCAAGGCAUAAAGUGAGGCACGUGUGCCUUUUUGUAUGUACUUUAUGAAUAAGGAUCGGCUAACUCCUUGCCAGCAGCCGCGUUAAUACGGAGGAUCCGAGCGUUAUCCGGAUUUAUUGGGUUUAAAGGGAGCGUCGAUGGGUUGAUAAGUCAGUUGUGAAAGUUUGCGGCGCAACCGUAAAAUUGCAAUUGAUACUGGCAGGCUUGAGUACAGUUGAGGUAGGCGGAAUUCGUGGUGUAGCGGUGAAAUGCUUAGAUAUCACGAAGAACUCAGAUUGCGAAGGCAGCUUACUAAACUGCCACUGACAUUGAUGCUCGAAAGUGUGGGUAUCAAACAGGAUUAGAUACCCGAGUAGUC
rnacentral:rRNA from 1 species